rnacentral:tRNA from 1 species
GUUAGAUUAGUUUAAGACCAAAACAUUAGCUUGUGGCGCUAAGGAUAAAAUAAAUUUUUAUCUAACU